rnacentral:rRNA from 1 species
GUGCCAGCCGCCGCGGUAAUACGUAGGGGGCAAGCGUUGUCCGGAUUUAUUGGGCGUAAAGAGCGUGUAGGCGGUUAUACAGGUCCGCUGUGAAAACUGGAGGCUUAACCUCCAGACGUCGGUGGAAACCGUAUAACUAGAGUCCGGAAGAGGAGAGUGGAAUUCCUGGUGUAGCGGUGAAAUGCGCAGAUAUCAGGAAGAACACCCGUGGCGAAGGCGGCUCUCUGGGACGGUACUGACGCUGAGACGCGAAAGCGUGGGGAGCGAACAGGAUUAGAAACCCUUGUAGUCC